rnacentral:rRNA from 1 species
UACGUAGGGUGCGAGCGUUGUCCGGAAUUACUGGGCGUAAAGAGCUCGUAGGUGGUUUGUCGCGUUGUUCGUGAAAACUCACAGCUCAACUGUGGGCGUGCGGGCGAUACGGGCAGACUGGAGUACUGCAGGGGAGACUGGAAUUCCUGGUGUAGCGGUGGAAUGCGCAGAUAUCAGGAGGAACACCGGUGGCGAAGGCGGGUCUCUGGGCCUUACCUGACGCUCAGGUGCGAAAGCUAGGGGAGCGAACAGG